rnacentral:misc_RNA from 1 species
GUACUUCCUGCGCGUGCGCCACGCACACACAGAGAGAGCGCUCACACUUCCUUGUCACGACAGCACCAGAAGCACACGCGUCAUGCAGACCGUCUUUCAACUCGCUGCCGUGCAUGGCAUGCUAUACACGGGCGGCAACGUUGUCUUUUCGCCCGACGGCACGCAGCUCUACUCCCCCGUGCACAACUACCUGUCGUCGAUCCAGCUCCAGCAGGCAGGCCACCUCUCGCUCAUGUGUAGCAACAGCUCCAUCAGCUGCUUCGACCUCUCCCCCGAUGGCGACCUUGCUUUUGUGGCCGGGCAGCGCGGUCUCGGCUUCUUCUACUCCAUCUCCGCCCGCGUCGUCCUCGACACGCUCUCCUUCCCCCCGAACUGCGCCACCCCGUGCGUGCGAUUCAGCCCGUGUGGCAAGUACGUCGCAGUGGCGUUGGAGUCCACGCUGCAGGUGUACACGGCGCCGGCCAAGCGUGUCGUGAGUUUCCACGGUUGUCACCGCAUCGAGCAGCUUCACGCCGUCCUUGCACGGCCCAUUACGAACCUCGACUGGACGGCAGAUAGCGAGCACAUCCUGGUGUGUGGCCAGGAUGCACGAAUGAAGAUCGUGCCGCGGCAAGGCAAGCUGCAGCAGAAAGGUAUGGCACUCCAGCAGAACUCGCUCGUCGGCCACCGCAGCGCCGUUCUUGGGGCCUGGUUCACGAACGAGGGCAGCAGCGAGGUGGUGAGUGUGGCGGCCGACAACGUGGUGGUGAUGUGGCACCGCGCGGCCGUUACACGUAGGGAGAUGCUGCAGGCGAUCGCAACUGCCAAGCUGGAGGCCCGAUUGGGCGAGCAGGAGGACAGCGACAACGCCGAGGGCGGUGGCGUCGAGGAUGACGACUCCCCGUCUCCGAAGAGCUUCCUCGAGCGCAAGCGGCUGGAGCAGCUGCGCCUCGACGGCGUGCGUGUUUCGGCCGCCGAUGACACGUACCUGCCCCCGAUUCUGCGCUAUGCCUUCGAGAUCAAGGACAAGUUCAUGCUAUCGCACAAGGGCAGCGUCAGCGUCACGGCGUUCCACAAGCCGCGUGGGCUUCUGGCGAUCGGGUACAGUAGCGGCACCUUCGCCAUUCACGCGUUGCCGGAGACGAAGGGCGGAGAGUUAGCCCUAGUACAUCUCCUCUCGAUAUCUGCUCAGGCGUUGACGGCGGCGGCCUUCGCGCCACGUGGAGACUGGGUCGCAUUCGGCAGUGCCCACCUCAAGCAGCUGCUCGUGUGGGACUGGAAAGCCGAGGCCUACGUGCUCAAGGAGCAGGCACACUACUACGACAUCGCCUGCGCUGCCAUCACGGCGGAUAGCACCAAUAUCAUCUCCGGCGGCGAGGAGGGCAAAGUGAAGGUGUGGAAGGUAGCAUCCGGGCAGUGCUUCGCAACCUUCACCGAGCACACAGGGCCCAUCAGCGGCAUCAGCACGAGUGCGAGCACGAACGCCUUCUUCACCAGCAGCCUGGACGGCACGGCGCGCGGCUACGACCUCAUGCGCUACCGCCAGUUUCGCGUCUUCAGCCCUCCAGAGCAGACGCAGCUUUCGUGCAUCGCCGUCGACCCGUCCGGUGAAGUACUGGCCGUCGGCAGCAGCCAAGUCAACAAGAUCUUUCUGUUCGCUGUGCAAACGGGGCGCAUUAUUGACGUCUUGCAAGGGCACGAGGCGCCCAUCGCGUGCGUGGCGUUCCACCCGUCCGGCACGACCCUCACCUCCGGCAGCAUGGACCACAACCUCAUCUUUUGGGACCUCUUCAACCAGAACGACAGCGGCGAGCGGCUCAAGGGUGACGGCGAGGUGCUGGGCAUCGGCACCGAGGUGCUGUGCGUCACGUACAGCAGCAGCGGGCGACGGCUCGCCGUGCUGACGGCGAAGCAGGAGAUUUCCGUGUACGAGACGACCAUCGCCAACGACCCGCAGCUGAUCAAGACGUUUCUCACGACCUUUGACGCGGCUGGCGGCUGGCGCAAGGAGGUGGGGCCGAACAGUGCCAACUACAACACUCACUUCACACGCAUCAGCUUCUCCCCUGAGGGCGAGAAGCUGAUCGCGGGCGGCGACUCCAAGUGGCUGGUGCUCUACCACGCGACACAGGGCUACGUGCUCAAGAAGUGGCCCAUCACGCACAACCUCGACGUGCAGGGUGCGGAGGAGCAGUAUCAAUGGCGCAACGCCAGCGAGGCAGGCUUUCUCGGAGACAUCGACGUGGAUGAGGACGACAUGCACCUGUCGCGGCGCAAGCUGCUGGAGAUGCCGGGUAGCCGCCACCGCCACUUCGCGACCGGCAAGCGCAAGACGGAGCUGACGGCGCGCGCGAUGGACGUGGCGUUCGCGGCUACGGGCUCCGAGUUCAUUGCCGCGACAACGGACGGCCUGCUGCUCUUCUCGACGCGUGUGGCGCGUCCGCGCUUUCAGCCGCUGCAGCUGAGCUUGCGCGUAACAACCGAAGAGGUGCGCCAGCAACUCUCGAACGGCCAGCCGGUGUUGGCGCUUAUCGGCGCCUUGAACCUUGGAGAUGCGACGCUUGGCGUGGAGUGCCUACGCCGGAUGCCGCGCAACUCGAUCCCGGUAGCUGUCGCGGCCGUCCCCUCGUCCCUCUUUCCACAGCUCAUGCAGUGGGUGAGCGAGGAGGUGGAGCACUGCCGUGGUCUCGAGCAUGCCCUGCUAUGGGCGCAGUCCCUCCUGCUCCACUCCAACGAGGCGUUCGGCGGGAUAGGGGCGCAGCAGACCGCGCGGGUGUUGCCAGCGCUCAAGACGCUUCAGCGCAGCCUCUUUCAUCACCGCCUGCUUACGGAGCUCUCCCGCGAAAACUACUUCUCCGUCAAGUACCUCGCCGACGCGGCGCGCAUGAACUCGUCCAAGCUGGAGCCGGUUGCAGAGGAUGCAACGGAGUAGCGUGCCUGAGAGGCGAAGUACGCAGCUGCCCCGCACGGCGCGGGAGAAAGAGAAGGGGAAAGGGGGCCGCAAGCCGUAUGCGGAGGUCCAUCCCUCCCACUCUCCGCGUGCGUGUGUCGCUGGGCGCGCACGCUGGACAUAAUACGCUAACAAGUAGUCGCAUAAUCUGUUGGAGCUCGUCCUUCACCAACCGCAUCUCGU